GGUUAAGCGACUAAGCGUACACGGUGGAUGCCCUGGCAGUCAGAGGCGAUGAAGGACGUGCUAAUCUGCGAUAAGCGUCGGUAAGGUGAUAUGAACCGUUAUAACCGGCGAUUUCCGAAUGGGGAAACCCAGUGUGUUUCGACACACUAUCAUUAACUGAAUCCAUAGGUUAAUGAGGCGAACCGGGGGAACUGAAACAUCUAAGUACCCCGAGGAAAAGAAAUCAACCGAGAUUCCCCCAGUAGCGGCGAGCGAACGGGGAGGAGCCCAGAGCCUGAAUCAGUGUGUGUGUUAGUGGAAGCGUCUGGAAAGGCGCGCGAUACAGGGUGACAGCCCCGUACACAAAAAUGCACAUAUUGUGAGCUCGAUGAGUAGGGCGGGACACGUGGUAUCCUGUCUGAAUAUGGGGGGACCAUCCUCCAAGGCUAAAUACUCCUGACUGACCGAUAGUGAACCAGUACCGUGAGGGAAAGGCGAAAAGAACCCCGGCGAGGGGAGUGAAAAAGAACCUGAAACCGUGUACGU
rnacentral:rRNA from 1 species